rnacentral:rRNA from 1 species
AGUGAACGCUGGCGGUAGGCCUAACACAUGCAAGUCGAACGGCAGCACAGUAAGAGCUUGCUCUUACGGGUGGCGAGUGGCGGACGGGUGAGGAAUACAUCGGAAUCUACUUUUUCGUGGGGGAUAACGUAGGGAAACUUACGCUAAUACCGCAUACGACCUACGGGUGAAAGCAGGGGAUCUUCGGACCUUGCGCGAUUGAAUGAGCCGAUGUCGGAUUAGCUAGUUGGCGGGGUAAAGGCCCACCAAGGCGACGAUCCGUAGCUGGUCUGAGAGGAUGAUCAGCCAAACUGGAACUGAGACACGGUCCAGACUCCUACGGGAGGCAGCAGUGGGGAAUAUUGGACAAUGGGCGCAAGCCUGAUCCAGCCAUACCGCGUGGGGGAAGAAGGCCUUCGGGUUGGAAAGCCCUUUUUGUUGGGAAAGAAAAGCAGCAGGUUAAUACCCCGCUGUUCUGACGGUACCCAAAGAAUAAGCACCGGCUAACUUCGUG